rnacentral:misc_RNA from 1 species
CCUAAACAAAUGGCAGUUGAAGGAUUCAAGGCACAAAGUGAGAUGGUGAUUGACAGUCUUGAUCGUCUAAUAACUGCGUGGGAAGAGAGGAAAGAAUCAGUGGUUGUUGAGGGUGUUCAUUUAAGCCUUAAUUUUGUGAUGGGGCUUAUGAAGAAANNNNNNNNNNNUGAUAUAUAUUACGAAUGAAGACAAACACUUGGAACGAUUUGCUGUUCGUGCAAAGUAUAUGACAUUGGACCCAGCUAAAAACAAAUAUGUGAAAUACAUUCGGAACAUCAGAACAAUCCAAGAUUAUCUUUGCAAACGGGCUGAUAAACAUCUCGUCCCCAAAAUCAAUAACACAAAUGUUGACAAGAGUGUAGCAGCCAUCCAUGCAACGGUUUUCAGCUGCCUUCGCAGGCGUGAGGCANNNNNNNNNUGCCCCUGCCACAAACACAGUGACUGUUGUUGAUGAGGAGUACAGGAACCAGUGUGCUGCCAAUUC